CAGCAGCCACGGUAACACAGAGGGUGCGAGCGUUAAUCGGAUUUACUGGGCGUAAAGCGUGCGUAGGCGGCUUCUUAAGUCGGAUGUGAAAUCCCUGAGCUUAACUUAGGAAUUGCAUUCGAUACUGGGAAGCUAGAGUAUGGGAGAGGAUGGUAGAAUUCCAGGUGUAGCGGUAAAAUGCGUAGAGAUCUGGAGGAAUACCGAUGGCGAAGGCAGCCAUCUGGCCUAAUACUGACGCUGAGGUACGAAAGCAUGGGGAGCAAACAGGAUUAGAUACCCCUGUAGUCCCUGUCUCUUAUAA
rnacentral:rRNA from 1 species